GUCAUGUUAAAUUCACAUAUUUAUAUAUUCAUUUAGAUAUUCUUUAAAAAAAUAUGCUUCACAAAGCUUGGAUGUUACAAUAAAUAUGUAACUGUUUAGGUUGAUAUGGCGUAGGUAUAAGUGGCACAAUGCAGCUACGCAUUGCUAGUGUUUUGUAAUUAAAUUUCAUGAGCGAUUUAAUACCUAUUUGUGUGUGAAGGGGGCAGAAGGGUUCAGCCCGAUUUAGCAU